UACAGAGGUCUCAAGCGUUGUCCGGAAUCAUUGGGCGUAAAGCGCACGUAGGCGGCCCUGUAAGUCCGUUGUGAAAGUCAAAGGCUCAACCUUUGAAUGCCGAUGGAUACUGCAGGGCUAGAGUCCGGAAGAGGCGAGUGGAAUUCCUGGUGUAGCGGUGAAAUGCGUAGAUAUCGGAAGGAACGCCGGUGGCGAAAGCGGCGUACUGGACCUCUUCUGACGCUCAUGCACGAAAGCGUGGGGAGCAAACAGG
rnacentral:rRNA from 1 species